rnacentral:rRNA from 1 species
AAUGGCGGAAACAGAGGGAUGCGAGCCGGUGACGCAAGCAACCCAAAAACACCGUCCCAGUUCGGACUGUAGUCUGCAACCCGACUACACGAAGCCGGAAUCGCUAGUAAUCGCGGAUCAGAAUGCCGCGGUGAAUACGUUCCCGGGUCUUGUACACACCGCCCGUCACACCAUGGGAGUCGGAAAUGCCCGAAGUCAGUGACCCAACCGGAAGGAAGGAGCUGCCGAAGGUGGAGCCGGUAACUGGGGUGAAGUCGUAACAAGGUAAC